rnacentral:rRNA from 1 species
CAAAAUACAUCUUCAAGCGGUGGAUCAC